GCCGCCUCUCCCUGGUUCCUCUUCUUUUCUCUUCUCUGUGAACAAACCCUACAGCACCGACUCCACCUCGCCAUGGCGCCGGCACUCGAGGAUGCCCCUCGCCGAGCUGAAGGCACCGAAAGAUCCGCCUCGUCGUCCUCUCCAUCCUCCUGCAAGGAAUCGGUCUAGGAGCCCUUCAAUCAACGUCAAAAUCGCCGUUCCCUUCUUCAUCCCCGGCGAGAAAAUCUUCGAUUCCGGCGACACCAGGCCUCCCCCUGCCAUUCCGAGGUCAUCUACACGUUCCUGAUGUCGCCGGCGGCGACACUCUGGUGACCCCCUGGACUCCGCAUCGCCACCACUAUCUUCCCCACGUCGAACCGAACCCCCGACGCCCUCACCCUCGUCCUGGUUCGCUACCAACCGCGAGAUCCGUCCGCGACCUGACCUUCUCCCGCCAUGGCUGUUCUGGCCCGAGCUCCGCCUCUAGUUGGGUCAAAAGGUUGCCUGCUUCUCACUAAGCACGACAUACACAGUAGCCCAGUGAUCCGGCGCCUACUGGGCCUCGGCCCGGAUUUUCCCGAGGUAACUCGUUCCUCCGCGCGUCCACCACCUUCCUGGCGCUGACGCGGUUCUGGCCCAGUUCUUUCCGCAGCAGAAUCAGGCCAUAUCCGGCCCAGGCCAGCGCAGCAUUUGCUUCUUCCCGGAUAGGACCACGAAGUGGUGUGGUGAGAUACGACAAGUUCUCCGGAUGUCCCUCGGCAAGCUUUAACAGGCAAGCAUUUCCCUUAUACUCCUGCCCCUGCAGAAGUCGCUCACCUAUUUUAUUUUGCCUUCUCCCUCAUGCUAUCCUUAAGUUGCGUUCUUGUCACGUGUCCCUUCCACUUGUUACCUCAAGCAGCCUAUAUUGCCACCACCACCUCCUACGGCUGUUGUUUGGUUAUCGAGUCUGCCCUUGCGAGUCGUAGUGCAUGCUAGUGCUGUUUUAUCUCAUUACCAUUAUUGUUAUCUUAUCGGGUUAUAUGUUGGGAAGAAUCAUGAUUACUUUAUUUGUUGAUAAUUGUUUAGCGGAGGCAUCGGUGGGUCAGCUGAUCGUUUUGUGACGGCUCACUUGUGUUUCCUAAAUAUCUUAGGAUCCCGAGUUCUUGUUAUCUGUUCCGAGACUGAGCGCUCUAACCACACGUGGGUAUGCUUACAGG